AGAAGGGCUCGUGUAGGCGUGUCCGGCCCACUAGUCUGGCUAGCGAGUCGAGUACUGUUUCGUUGAGUUUUUCCCCAGUCUUAGAAGACGAAUUUAUACGUCUUACUGUAGAUGCUACUGUAUAAAAGCAUUUCCGACUUUCUGGUUACUGUAGCAUGUCCUAGCUUUGUCUGAAAAUGUCCGCUGAGCGAAGCCACUGGUAACUUGGCAAGGUAGCUAGUUCCCAGCACACUAGAUACCUAGCAACCAUUUUAAGUAACGCGAACAAAACCACUAGGUGCAUACUGCCACCUACUGUGCGGAACGAAUAUACUGCAGUGUCACCCUUGCACGUUUGUGGACUCUGUCAUGGUUACAGCAAAAACAGAAGUUGGAUUGACUUCCUGGAUCCGUUGUCCUGGCAACUUUCAAAAGGGAUUCCAUCACUCCCUUGAUUGGAAGAAACAUGAACAGAAAGCUGGAAAAUUGUUGUUUCAAUAAUCCUACUUCACCUCUGGCCCUAAACGAGGUUAAAACAGAAAUGAAAAAAAAAAGUCAGAACAGAGUCAGACCUACGUGUUUUACAAUGACGUUAUAGAUACUGAUGAGAUUAAGUAUUCUAUUUUAACAGAUGCAAGAACAAUUUACUCUAUGAAGAUAAACUGCUGCUUCACUGCUCCAUGUCCAUAGAAUUAAAAACCAAAGCUGCACCUACACUUAAAUUGCAUGUACCUCUUUCCACAAAAAAAUCUUGUACACACCUGCCCUGGGUCACUGUGUGUGUAGCUCCAUGCACCUGUUCCAGAACCACUGUACUCACAUUCUGUAGUCUUGCAGACAAGGGCCCACAUCCAUCAAGCGUUGAUUAGGAAUGCUGAUCAGGUUUUCCCUGUCCUUAUGCCAACCUAAUCCAUUACGAAAAAAGAGAAGGUUUUUUGGCAAUUCUAAGUCAGUGCUCUGGAACUCCAAUGGUUUCAAUUACCCAGUAGUGAUUGUUACAUCAGCAUUAGAAUGUUAAGAUAAGAACAUUCUAAUCACACAUUUGUGCUCUUGGACCCCUUUCACCUAUUUUCUCAUGGAAACAUUGCAUUCUCCUUACCUUACGGUGGACUGUCUGUGUCUUCAUCCUGCCCCCACUCAUUCUGCCCGUUCACAC